AGAAUCAACGCUGGCGGCGUGCUUCAGACAUGCAAGUCGAACGCGAAAGUUUCCUUCGGGAAGCGAGUAGAGUGGCGCACGGGUGAGUAACACGUAAGUAAUCUACCUUUGGGUGGGGAAUAACUCAGGGAAACUUGAGCUAAUACCGCAUAAUGCAGCGGCUCCUUAUGGAGACAGUUGUUAAAGUAUUUAUAUGCCUAAAGAGGAGCUUGCGGCAGAUUAGCUAGUUGGUAAGGUAAUGGCUUACCAAGGCAACGAUCUGUA
rnacentral:rRNA from 1 species